AGAGUAUAGACUAUAUGGCUUUAGAUGGUUAGAGUAUAGACUAUAUGGCUUUAGGUGGUUAGAGUAUAGACUAUAUGGCUUUAGGUGGUUAGAGUAUAGACUAUAUGGCUUUAGGUGGUUAGAGUAUAGACUAUAUGGCUUUAGGUGGUUAGAGUAUAGACUAUAUGGCUUUAGGUGGUUAGAGUAUAGACUAUAUGGCUUUAGGUGGUUAGAGUAUAGACUAUAUGGCUUUAGGUGGUUAGAGUAUAGACUAUAUGGCUUUAGAUGGUUAGAGUAUAGACUAUAUGGCUUUAGAUGGUUAGAGUAUAGACUAUAUGGCUUUAGAUGGUUAGAGUAUAGACUAUAUGGCUUUAGAUGGUUAGAGUAUAGACUAUAUGGCUUUAGUCAGGUGGUUAGAGUAUAGACUAUAUGGCUUUAGUCAGGUGGUUAGAGUAUAGACUAUAUGGCUUUAGUCAGGUGGUUAGAGUAUAGACUAUAUGGCUUUAGAUGGUUAGAGUAUAGACU